GCAUCAGUAGUUUAGUGGCAAAAUCCAUCGUUGCCAUCGAUGGGCCCCGCGUUCGAUUCGCGGCUGAUGCA
rnacentral:tRNA from 1 species